AAGAACUGGACUGAGAGCAGAGAGGACUGUAUAAAGAGAGGAGCAGACCUGGUGAUCAUAAACAGCAGAGAGGAACAGGACUUCAUCACUGAACAGCUGCAAGGAGGUCAUGCUUGGAUUGGUCUGAGUGACAGAGACACAGAGGGAGAGUGGAAAUGGGUGGACGGUACACUACUACCCUCUGGUUUCAGUAAAUGGGCUUACAAACAACCAGAUAAUGAAAAUAAUGAAGACUGCGGUGAGACUGGG